rnacentral:lncRNA from 1 species
GUGCUUCAUAACAUUGAGAGGUGUAUUGUAUAUUGUUAUUGCUACACUUUAUCACAAUCUAUACAUUUCUGUUAACAUACCAGUGAUGUAUGUUCUUGCAUCCUUGUUUCGUGUUUUUUGUUUCUUUUUUCAUGUUUAUUGCUGCACCUCUACAGGAAGAGUUCAAUUGACUAAAAUAGACAUUGAGGAGAAUUGCAAAUUGUAAGCAAAAUAAAUGACAAAGUUAGUUGGACUUCUGAGCUUUGGUGUGUUUUUUUUUUGUCUGCAAUUCGCUUGUUAGUUCUCCACAAUCUCUGGUUUCAUGAAAAACCCCAGUACAGUUUAUGUGGAAAUCAACCGUUGAAAUUUAUAGACAGUCAAGUAUGGCUUUACCAGUCAUUUCUUUGUGAAAUCAAUUUCACAAAUAUACACCAUUUAAAACAUUUGAGCCCAUGAAAUAUUCUCUAUUUCAGGAAAUUACGUGUGGUCUCAGAUUAAACUCCAUUGCCCAAGAUGUCAUUAAAUAUGUGGUUAAAAUGUCUUAUCAAAUCCUGGGGCUUUAACAUAUUUAUUUAUAAAAUACUUAGACGAAGAAUUCAUGUGCACUUGUUCAGUAAUUACUGCAAGUUUAAAAAAAAAAAAAAACACUUGCAUUUGUACUAUGAAGCUGCCUUUAGUUACCAAUAACGGUACAUGGACCGUCAAAGUGUGUGAUUUGCCAAAGAGCUCCCAGCGUUCUAAUGAGCUGCAUAGAAACCUUUGCAUUUUUAAAUACAUUUUAUUUAAAGAAAACUGCUAAACAUAAUAAAAAAAUGAAUUAAUCAAAACAAAUAAAUCGAAAUACAUUUUCAAAUGACUUCCUAAAGGAAACUCUUUAUCCCAUAAAAGUCCACUCUUGGAAAUUCAAAGUGAAUUUAACAUUUAAGCCCAUUAUAGCUGGACUGAAAAAUUCUUCAAGUCAGCUAAAAUGUCUAUAUGGAAAAAAAAAAAAAAAAAAAAAUUCCAGACAAUUCACAUAUUAGUGAAUAACCCUGUAAAUAUAUUUACAUUUUUUUUUAAAACAUCACAGUUUAAUGCUAAUAUAGUUAAAAUUUUAUGUAAUGCAAAAGUAAUAUAAUGUUGCGAAUUCUCAUAUAUAUAUAUGUGGUAGGCAAAUAGUAAUUUCAGAUAAAAAGCUAUUGUUCAGGCAUAAUAGUUAUUUUACCUUUAAAACACAAUUUGCCUAGGCAAAAGCUUUUUGCCUAACUAGUAUCCAGGCAAAUCAGGCAACUUGGGAAAGUGGCCCCUUCUCACUAAUAGCCACUCAAGCAACACCUGAAAAAUAGUCCCUGGCUGCCAAAAACUGAGGAAAGUGAAAAGUAUGGGUUAAUUAGGGGCCACUUUACUGGAACACCUGGGUAUGUAUUGGUAAGCAGGGGCCAUUUUCCGGUGGAGCCUGGCCCUCUAUUAGCAAGUCAUGGCUAUGUACUCCACCAAUAAUCGAGCAGUGGCCACUUUCCUGGAGCACCUGCGGCAUUUAUUGGCAAGCAAGGGUCAUCUUCCUCGGGUUCCUGGUCGCUUAUAUGGAAGCAGAGGACACUUGCUUGAGAAGCUCCUGGGUGAUAAUUAGAAAGCAAGAGACCACUUUAUGAGGGCGCCUGGGUGUUUAUUACUGAGCAGGGGACACUUUCUGGGGUUGCUUGAGUGGCUAUUGGUGAGAAGGGGACACUUUCCCUGGUUGCCUGGCUGCCUGUUUCUUAGGCUAAUGGAUUUGAAAUGUGAAGAAAUUAAUAAUAAUCUGUAAGAACCAUGCAAAACUAUUUGCCUAAAUAAUAGUUCAUGUUUUAAAGCCAAAACGAAAAAAAAAAACAUUUUGCUUGGAAUUACU